rnacentral:rRNA from 1 species
GGCGGCGUGCCUCACAUCAUGCAAGUCGAGCGGAGCUUUGGAGGUAGCUUGCUACCGAAGAAGCUUAGCGGCGGACGGGUGAGUAACACGUGGGCAACCUGCCCUUCAGACCGGGAUAACACCGGGAAACUGGUGCUAAUACUGGAUACGGUCGGGACUCCGCAUGGAGAUCCGAGGAAAGGCGGCGUAAGCUGUCACUGAAGGAUGGGCCCGCGCCUCAUUAGCUAGUUGGUAGGGUAACGGCCUACCAAGGCGACGAUGAGUAGCCGGCCUGAGAGGGUGGACGGCCACACUGGGACUGAGAUACGGCCCAGACUCCUACGGGAGGCAGCAGUGUGGAAUAUUGGGAAAUGGGGGAAACCCUGACCCAGCGACGCCGCGUGGGUGACGAAGGCCUUCGGGUUGUAAAGCCCUGUCUUCCGGGACGAAUCCCAUCGGGAGUAACUGCCUGGUGGUUGACGGUACCGGAGGAGGAAGCCCCGGCUAACUACGUGCCAGCAGCCGCGGUAAUACGUAGGGGGCGAGCGUUGUCCGGAAUUACUGG